AACAGGAUUAGAUACCCUGGUAGUCCACGCCGUAAACGAUGAGUGCUAAGUGUUAGGGGGUUUCCGCCCCUUAGUGCUGCAGCUAACGCAUUAAGCACUCCGCCUGGGGAGUACGGCCGCAAGGCUGAAACUCAAAGGAAUUGACGGGGGCCCGCACAAGCGGUGGAGCAUGUGGUUUAAUUCGAAGCAACGCGAAGAACCUUACCAGGUCUUGACAUCCCGCUGCCCGGUGUAGAGAUACGCCUUUCCCUUCGGGGACAGCGGUGACAGGUGGUGCAUGGUUGUCGUCAGCUCGUGUCGUGAGAUGUUGGGUUAAGUCCCGCAACGAGCGCAACCCUUGAUCUUAGUUGCCAGCAUUCAGUUGGGCACUCUAAGGUGACUGCCGGUGACAAACCGGAGGAAGGUGGGGAUGACGUCAAAUCAUCAUGCCCCUUAUGACCUGGGCUACACACGUGCUACAAUGGACGGUACAAAGGGCUGCAAACCCGCGAGGGGGAGCCAAUCCCAGAAAACCGUUCUCAGUUCGGAUUGCAGGCUGCAACUCGCCUGCAUGAAGCCGGAAUCGCUAGUAAUCGUGGAUCAGCAUGCCACGGUGAAUACGUUCCCGGGCCUUGUACACACCGCCCGUCACACCACGAGAGUUUGUAACACCCGAAGUCGGUGAGGUAACCACUUGUGGAGCCAGCCGCCGAAGGUGGGACGGAUGAUUGGGGUGAAGUCGUAACAAGGUAACC
rnacentral:rRNA from 1 species